CUAAGUUUGAUGGCGACCGGCGCACGGGUGAGUAACACGUAUCCAACCUGCCGAUGACUCGGGGAUAGCCUUUCGAAAGGAAAGAUUAAUACCCGAUGGCAUAGUUCUUCCGCAUGGUAGAACUAUUAAAGAAUUUCGGUCAUCGAUGGGGAUGCGUUCCAUUAGGUUGUUGGCGGGGUAACGGCCCACCAAGCCUUCGAUGGAUAGGGGUUCUGAGAGGAAGGUCCCCCACAUUGGAACUGAGACACGGUCCAAACUCCUACGGGAGGCAGCAUG
rnacentral:rRNA from 1 species